UCUUCCGUAGUAUAGUGGUCAGUAUGUGAGCUUGUCAUUCUUAUUGAAGGUCGAUUUCGCUCGAGACCCGGGUUCAAUUCCCGGCGGGAGAG